CGAAGCUGUUCCUAUUCGGCCAUCUUGGCUCCUCCCUCCCGGUAGUUCUUAUAUGAUUGAAUGUUUGCAUUUAUUUCUGUAUUUCAUUAGAAUUUCACAGGCAAACUUGGGGGAUGGCAGUGUUAGUAUUCUCUCAGGAUAAUCUGGAAGAUAUUUUUAAAAACUUUUGGUUAGCCAGACAAUUCAAUUCACCAAAAGUUUACUACAUGUCUUAGGAUGUUUUCAGCUGGAAAAGCAAAAUGGAACAAAAUUUGAAAGUGGCUUAAACAAUAAAGGAUUUGUUACUUUACAUAAUAUCACAUCUGAAAGUGGACGUUUUCAUAGUGUGCUAAUCCAGUCCUCUUCUAAAUGAUCCAGGAGUCUCGAACCUUUCUACUCUGGAGGCAUUGCCUCUCCUCGUCUUUGCUGAAGCCAGAGGUCAUGUGCUCACACAAUCAUAUGGAGAAGCAUAAAUGAGCUAUUUCUCAUCACCUAGCUCUUUUUAUCAGGAUUAAAAAUCUUUCCUCAAAAAGUCCAGAAGCAUACUUCCCUCUAGCCUAGUUGGCCAGGAUUACAUAACAUGCCUCCGAUGGAACCAAUCACUGGUGAAGGGAGUGCAAUUAUUGUGAUUCUAGAUUAACUGUAAUAAUUGACAUUCACCCCCUGGAGCUGGGAUAGAAAGCCGAUUUACAGCAUCGCUGAGCAGGAAAAAAGAGAUGGCUGUUGAACAGGAGGCAACAUGCAAUGACAUAAUUAAUUGUUAAUGGAAUUCUAGCCAAAAGGAUGUGGGAGGAGAGGAAGGAGCCACAAAGGGAGAAUCAUGCCUAAGAGUUAACUAUGGUACUCUGAAGCAGAACAGAGACAGCAAAAGCCAAGAUCUUUGAUUAUCAGCAGACCUGCACUACAAGAUGUGUAAAGACAGCUCUUCAGGCAGAAGGAAUUUUACGAGAGAGAAAUUUUGAUGUAUACAAAGAAUGAAGAUUUCUGGAAGUGAUGAAAAUAAAGAUAGAUUAAAAGAAUUGUUAGAUAUCAAAACAUUUAUUUAUUAAAACUUCUUGUCAUAGACUGGAGGAGAAUAUACAGCCAUGAAAACUACGUACAAUAUGGCGUCUUGAAUUGGAUCCUGGAGCAGACAAUGGGAUUACUGGGAAAACUGGUGAAGACUGGAAAAUAGAAAAAAUAGAGUCUCCAGGGAACUAAAAAUAGAAUUAAUGUACAGUUCAGCAAUCUUGCUGGGUAUCUACUCAAAGGAGAAGAAAUCAUUAUAUUAAAAAAUAGCUGUACUUCUAUGUCUAUUGCAGCAUCAUUCACAAUAGCAAUGAUACGAAAUCAAUCUAAAAUGUCCAUCAGUGGAUGACUGGAUAAAGAAAAUGUGGUAUUUAUGCAUACAGACACAUACACACAUAUACACACACACAAUAGAAUACUGUUGAGCCAUAAAAAAGAAUGAAAUCAUGUUCUUUUGCAGCAACAUGGAUGGUACUUGAGGCCAUUAUUUUAAGUAUAACCGCUCAGAAACAGAAAGUCAAAUACUGCACAUUCUUACUUAUAAGCGGGAGCUAAAUAAUGUGUACACAUUGACAUAGAGUGUGGAAUAAUAGACAUUAGACAAUCAGAAGGGUGAAACGGUGGUAAGAGGGUAAGGGAUUAGAAAUUACUUAAUGGGUACAAUGUACGUUACUCAGGUGAUGCAUACACUAAAAGCCCAGACUUCGCCACUGCACAAUAUAUCAAUGUAACAAAACUGCACUUAUACGCCUUAAAUUUAUACAAAUAAAAAAAUUUAAAAAUAGAG
rnacentral:lncRNA from 1 species